rnacentral:rRNA from 1 species
AGGUGAACCUGCGGAAGGAUCAUUAUAAAAUUUUUCGUAUAUUUAUUUUUAAAUAUAUAAAAUUACACAAUGGUUCCAAA